AGUGAACGCUGGCGGUAGGCCUAACACAUGCAAGUCGAACGGCAGCACAGUAAGAGCUUGCUCUUACGGGUGGCGAGUGGCGGACGGGUGAGGAAUACAUCGGAAUCUACUUUUUCGUGGGGGAUAACGUAGGGAAACUUACGCUAAUACCGCAUACGACCUACGGGUGAAAGCAGGGGAUCUUCGGACCUUGCGCGAUUGAAUGAGCCGAUGUCGGAUUAGCUAGUUGGCGGGGUAAAGGCCCACCAAGGCGACGAUCCGUAGCUGGUCUGAGAGGAUGAUCAGCCACACUGGAACUGGGACACGGUCCAGACUACUACGGGAGGCAGCAGUGGGGAAUAUUGGACAAUGGGCGCAAGCCUGAUCCAGCCAUACCGCGUGGGUGAAGAAGGCCUUCGGGUUGUAAAGCCCUUUUGUUGGGAAAGAAAAGCAGCAGGUUAAUACCCCGCUGUUCUGACGGUACCCAAAGAAUAAGCACCGGCUAACUUCGUG
rnacentral:rRNA from 1 species